rnacentral:lncRNA from 1 species
CUUNUCCUUGCCAAAAGUGUUNUAGGCUACUUACUUAGUUAUUGUAACUCAAAAAUCACUUUUAUGAUCACAAAAAGAUGACUCAAAUAAUCAAAGAAAAUGCUAGGACUCUAAUGUCGGACUCUAAUGUAACUCCUAAAUGUGUAACAAAAAUUAAAACACACAAGAAAAGUUUUGCCAAGAGAGCACCAAGGACUCUUCCAAGACAACUUGGACUUUGAAUGGCCUUUUACAAUUUAAAGAAAUCUAACACAGAAAACCUAACCAAAAUGAACAAAACAAUUACAAAGGAAGCUAAGAACAGUGGCUGCCACAUUCUGGUUUAUGUUCAAAUUCAUGUGUUGGCUACUUUUGGAGUCUCCUAGCUUGUGGUUUCACUUUCCUUUUCAGUUUUCUGUUGCAGCCUUACAAAUUCUCCUUUGCCUUUCAAAACUUUUGCUCUCGGUUGUGCACAAUUGAUGUGGAGAAUGCAUCCAACUUUGCUCUCACUUUGCAUUCUGCUGUAAUAGUUGUUCCAACGCUCAACCAGUUCAGCUUGAUGACUCUGCUGCAGCUAAUUAUAUGACAUUUUCCAGUUCAAAUCUGCAUAGCAUUCUUUAUGAUUCUGCAGUUGCAUGUAGACUGUAAUCUACAAGGUUGUUUUUCUUCAAACAUUCCCAAAGCAUUCUGCACAAAUAGAUCACACCAAAUUCCAGCAGAGACUUCCAGACUAUCACUUAACCAAUCACAAGAUGGUUCGUGAAUUCAAUUGUAUUAAACUUCCUGUUAAAGACUGAUGCAAUACAAGUUAUUGCUCUUAAACCACACUAGUCAAACAGUACUUUGAUAAACUCUGAUGAAAUCUGAACUUGACUAGCUUUACACAUUCAAAUCGAUAGCCAAAUGAUUAAAACAAAGUCAGUUUACUCAAUUCUGAUCCAAAAAUCAAUUUGUCCAGGUGAGUUACUUUCAAAUCAGUAUAAUGCAUAAAAUCUGGUGAUAUCAAAAAAUGAAAUUCAGAAUUUGGAUGAUAUGUAAUGAUCAAAAUUUGUGUAGAUCUGAAAUGAUGCAAUGGUGAAAUUGAGCUUAUUAGUUAAAAAUGGAAGCUGAACAAAUGCAGCAGAUUAGUUCCUGGACAACAAAGACAGAACAGUUAAAAGAGAAGGAGUAGGCAAUUGCAACUAUGGCUUCUCUUAAGGAAAUUCUGCUUGAUAUUGUUGCAGCACACAAUUCUCACAGUUGCUGAAAGUGGAGCUGUUAAUUUUGGAUGUAGGAUCAGGUUUGACACACACAACAACAGCUGCUGUAGCAGCAAUUAUGCAGUUCCGGAUUCAGUUUCUGCAGCACCGAGAGUCAAGCUCCUUUGUGUUUUCCGCCACUUAUCCACUCCCUAAUGUGCUACCAAUGGUUUAGGAUCUCAGCUGGAUCAAUUUCCCCUGUGAUGACACUUCAACCAGAUCACAAAUCCUUCCAGAGAUUAGUGCACAAAACGUUGUUGCUGGUAGAAAGUGUUCAACACAGAAACUGCACUACAGCACCUUUUAACAAACAGGUGGUAGGCAAGAGUUCCAACAAUGGAAAUAAAGCAAUAAAAUGGAAUUCAAACACGGAGGCACAACAAAAUGAUCCUAAAAAAUGCUCUAGAGUAGAUUUAAAAAGCAAGAAAACGGUUACAAGUUGUAUAAGAUUAAAUUUAAACUCAAAUGAAAAUUAGGCAAAACUGUUUGUUAAAAUGCCUGAAUGAGUUUUUCUGAAACUGGUACAUCAACCAAACCAGAGUUGGCACGGUUUGAAUCAGCUUUUUGUUUCUGCUGGUUAUUUUUCUUUUGACUUUUGAGCAGAUCUUUAUGUUACAUUUAAACCAAGCUUUUGCUACCAAUUCUUACUCAAUUAUUGAUGUUCCAAAACAACAAACAUUAAUGCAGAGAAAAAAACUUGUAUCAGAAAAAUUAGGGGCUGAAAUUGAUGGGUUGGAAGAGGAAUUUGCACCAGAUUAGUAAACACUUAAAUUUUGCAACACAGGCAAAUCCAAAUGAGGGAUAUAAACUUGUUUGUGCUGCCAAUUGAGGCUAAUUAUCAAUGUUUCAGAAAUUCACUGGUUGAGUUCCUCUUUUAACGCUAAUUCAAGCAACUACACCAUCCAAUUUCAAGCACAUGGAAUCAAAUGGAAUCUAAGCACUUAAUUAGACUCCAAUACAACAAAACAAACUUGAUGAAGACAUUAGAAAUGGAAUUAGAACAUUCAGCACCGAAUUCUAAACUGAAUCAGAUUUGAAAACAGAAAAGACUCAAGGUAAGAAGAUGCAACUCGGCCAAUCUGCUAGACUUUGUUUUCUGGACCUUGUGAGAUGAUGCAUCCAACUCAUUCAGUGAAACAAAACACUGUUCAUUUGGUAUGCACAAUUUACAACAUUCCACAAAGGCAAUCCAGAUUAUCAGUCAGACUCAAACACACAUGGUGCAGUUACAAAUUUGAAUCACAUUCACACAGAUUCAACUUUACACACUGGAUUCAAUCACAAAUCUGAAAUGAUCAACACAUUUCAUACACUUGAGCUCCUCAUAGAGACUGUCAUAGCUCUUUUAAUUGUGCAAAGAAUGUUGAAUUCAUUCAAAUUUAACAGAUACAAGACCACACGACUUUAGAACCAGAAUUUGUGAAAACAACAUAAGCAAUUACACAUGACUUUUAACAAAACUGAAUAGAUUGCAAAAAUUAAAAGACUCAAAUAUGAUUUGGCCGAAUAAAAUGAUGAAAAUGAAAUCAAAAUAAAGUUGGCACAAAGAAAAUAACUCGAAGGAAACUAGUGGAAUCAGAACACCAAUGGAACAGUACACACUCGAUGCAAAGAAACGGAGAAAACAAAGUGUUUGACAGUAUGGAUUAAAAGGAAAACUUAGCUCACGGCAGUAGCGGCUGAAACCUUGCUCUGAAUACCAAAUGAUAACUCCAUCCUUGAGCUAUGUAGUAGGUCCAUGAGCUUCCAAGACAAAGACAGCAACACCGGAUGAAAUGGAGUAAGGUAAAAUGGAUGCGCAGCGGAGGAGUGUUGAUAUGAUUCGGUGAAAUGGUUUGAAGUGCUUUUGGAGGUAUGGAUAUAACUCAGAAGGCCUUCACCAUUGGAAGGAAGCUAGAGGAUAAGGUGGAAGAAGCACAAGAAUAUGACUCUCGGUGGAGAGAAGACGCUAGAAAUGCUUCAGCAUAUCUAUUCUCUCAAA